rnacentral:rRNA from 1 species
AACGAACGCUGGCGGCAGGCCUAACACAUGCAAGUCGAACGCCCUGGCAACAGGGAGUGGCAGACGGGUGAGUAACGCGUGGGAACGUGCCCUUCGGUUCGGAAUAACUCAGGGAAACUUGAGCUAAUACCGGAUACGUGCGAGAGCAGAAAGAUUUAUCGCCGAAGGAUCGGCCCGCGUCCGAUUAGCUAGUUGGUGAGGUAAUGGCUCACCAAGGCGACGAUCGGUAGCUGGUCUGAGAGGAUGAUCAGCCACACUGGGACUGAGACACGGCCCAGACUCCUACGGGAGGCAGCAGUGGGGAAUAUUGGACAAUGGGCGCAAGCCUGAUCCAGCCAUGCCGCGUGAGUGAUGAAGGCCCCAGGGUUGUAAAGCUCUUUCGCCAGGGACGAUAAUGACGGUACCUGGAUAAGAAGCCCCGGCUAACUUCGUGCCAGCCGCCGCCGUAA